rnacentral:rRNA from 1 species
GAAGGGAGCAAGCGUUAUUCGGGAAUUACUGGGGCGUAAAGGGCGUGUAGGCGGUCUGCUAAGUUAGUUGUUAAAGAUCAUGGGCUUACCCAUGAAAAGGCGAUUGAUACUGGUAGACUAGAGUUCAAGAGAGAGGAGUGGAAUUCUCGGAGUAGCGGUAAAAUGCGUAGAUCUCGGGAGGAACACCGAUGGCGAAGGCAGCUCUUUGGCUUGAUACUGACGCUGAGGCGCGAAAGCGUGGGGAGCAAACAGGAUUAGAUACCCUGGUAGUCCACGCCGUAAACGACGAUCACUAGAUGUUGGUUCUGCUUAGCGGAAUCAGUGUCAAAGCUAACGCGUUAAGUGAUCCGCCUGGGGAGUACGGCCGCAAGAUUA